CAGGUAGAAGCCCGCUGGUUUGGGUGUUUAGCUGUUAACUAAAUUUUCGUGGGAUCGAGGCCCAUCUAUCUGG
rnacentral:tRNA from 1 species